rnacentral:rRNA from 1 species
GAUGAGCGCUGGCGGCGUGCCUAAUACAUGCAAGUCGAGCGAACAGACGAGGAGCUUGCUCCUCUGACGUUAGCGGCGGACGGGUGAGUAACACGCGGAUAACCUACCUAUAAGACUGGGAUAACUUCGGGAAACCGGAGCUAAUACCGGAUAAUAUAUUGAACCGCAUGGUUCAAUAGUGAAAGACGGUUUUGCUGUCACUUAUAGAUGGAUCCGCGCCGCAUUAGCUAGUUGGUAAGGUAACGGCUUACCAAGGCAACGAUGCGUAGCCGACCUGAGAGGGUGAUCGGCCACACUGGAACUGAGACACGGUCCAGACUCCUACGGGAGGCAGCAGUAGGGAAUCUUCCGCAAUGGGCGAAAGCCUGACGGAGCAACGCCGCGUGAGUGAUGAAGGUCUUCGGAUCGUAAAACUCUGUUAUUAGGGAAGAACAAAUGUGUAAGUAACUAUGCACGUCUUGACGGUACCUAAUCAGAAAGCCACGGCUAACUACGUG